GGGCUCCUGGCCUCCUGCUGCAGAGACCUGUCUCAGGCUGACACCCUUACUCCCUUGGGGGCAUCUGUGAGUCCUCCUGAGAUGGGGAGAUUUUGUUGUCGCCACCUCAAACCACCUCCUCUUCAUCUUGGAAGGUGGAGCAAGGGAGGGAAAGAGCUGGUGCCCAGGGGAGGCUGCGCUUCUGCCGCUGAGAGCAGGUGCCUUGGUUCUUAAACCAGGUGGUCUCUAAGCUGGCUGUGUGACCAGAGGGCCCCCACUCUGCAGCUGGGAAAACUGAGACCCUGAGAAUCAUUUCAUCCUGAGCUAGUUAGCGGGUUUGCGGAGGGCCGGAAUGAAGACAGAUCCAGCCCGGCCAUCUCACAGCCUCUUCUCUAAGCUGCCACGGACACACACGUACCCCUCCCAUUCUUGCUCCACCAGCCCUCACACACAACCACAGUCUGGCUCUUGGCUUCACAGAUCUUAAAGGAGCAGAAACUCUCCUCUUCCUGAACUUAAUCUCGAUCAGCUUGGUGGUGCCAUUUCCAAGCAACUGGAUGCUCUGAUGUUGCUUGGAGUGGAGCACUCUCUGCACCUGCACAGGACUUCAGGGUUUUCGUCUACGCCUCCUGUGACCCUCACGGUUUCCCCUUUGACAGACGAGGUCCUGCAGCUCAGAGGGGGAAACGACUUGCCCUUGUCACAUGGCCUGUACUUGGCAAAGUCCGGCCUAGAAUGGUCUCCUGACUCCUAAUCGUGUCUCUCUCUCCAGACUCUGGGUUCUGACACCGGCUCUGCUUCGAAUGAGCUCUGAGACCCGGAACACAUCACUUCAGCUGCCUGAACCUGCUUCAUAAAUGCACUGACCUGCAAAACCUCGAUGUCAUUUCAUUCAUUCCACAAGCACUGCCUCUCAGGAGGCCCUGAGCCAGGUCCUGGGGCCACGAGGAUGAAGAUUCCAGCUCUCUGCUCUCAGGGCAGAAACACAUUCAGAGCCCAGCAAGGGUGUAGAAUGGGAGACCUCACGUGGGGAGAAGAGGGCAGGAACCCGAGUCCUCUCUCAGGGGACCAAGGGAUUCC
rnacentral:lncRNA from 1 species